UACGUAGGGCGCAAGCGUUGUCCGGAAUUAUUGGGCGUAAAGAGCUCGUAGGCGGUUUGUCACGUCGGCUGUGAAAACCCGAGGCUCAACCUCGGGCCUGCAGUCGAUACGGGCAGACUAGAGUGCUGUAGGGGAGACUGGAAUUCCUGGUGUAGCGGUGAAAUGCGCAGAUAUCAGGAGGAACACCGGUGGCGAAGGCGGGUCUCUGGGCCGAUACUGACGCUGAGGAAGCGAAAGUG
rnacentral:rRNA from 1 species